rnacentral:tRNA from 1 species
UGCAUCGGCCGGGAAUCGAACUCAGGCCGCCCGCGUGGCAGGCGAGCAUUCUACCACUGAACCACCGAUGC